UGCAUAUUUUUAUUCAUUGCAUUACAUGUUUACAUGAAUUUUGGUGCUUUGAAUUUUGUUUGAUUAAAAAUCUUUUUGAGGAAAGGUGUUUAGGAAUUCAAAUUUUUGAGAAAGGAGAUGAUUGAGAAUCUUUAUUGUGAGAAGAGAAAUUUCUUUAAUGUCGCGUAAACGGUAUUAACCUUCACAAUCAUAUUAAGUUAAAUUCAUAUUAAUUAUCGUCUUUACUCCACUAUUUAUUAUUCUGACGAUAAUUUAUUAUAUGAUUUCUUAUUGCAUAAAUUCAUCAAAAUUUUGAAAUCAAAUUUGAUUUUUUGGUGAUUAAUUCAUCUUAGUUGUGAGUGUUGGAUAUGAUGAAUGGAUAUUCUCUAAUAGACUAAAAUUUGUCAAAUUAUUUUCAAUUGUGAGAUUGCCUAAUUUAGGGGGAGUUUGAAAUUAUAAAUAAAAUAAAAAGGAGAAACUCCUAUGUUUAAAAGAUGUGGAAAGAGUUACAUCCAAAUGGAGUGUGAAAACUACCACCACAUGUAGGAAAGAGCUACCACCCCGGUCGUCCGGCAAGUGUGUGAAGCUACCACAUGAAGAUUAAAUUGAAAAAGCCGAAAAAGGUUGAAAAAAAAUAUAAAAAUAUUCUAGAGUUUUUCGGAGUAAUAAGGUGUUAGUUUGAAAAAGAUGCUCAAAGAGCCACCCCCGGUAUCAUUUUGGUUAAAUCUCUAUAUUGAACAUGUUA
rnacentral:lncRNA from 1 species